AUUAUACUACCCUCCGUCCCAAAAUUCUUGUCUUAGAUUUGUCUAAAUGCGGAUGUAGAUACAUCCGCAUUUAGACAAAUCUAAGACAAGAAUUUUGGGACAUCCGCAUUUAGACAAAUCUAAGACAAGAAUUUUGGGACGGAGGGAGUAUUAA
rfam:Triticum aestivum genome assembly, contig: Triticum_aestivum_CS42_TGACv1_scaffold_061277_1DL